UAGAGGAUAUAGAGUUAGAGAGGAUAUAGAGGAUAUAGAGUUAUAGAGGAUAUAGAGUUAGAGAGGAUAUAGAGGAUAUAGAGUUAGAGAGGAUAUAGAGUUAGAGAGGAUAGAAAGGUUAGAGAGGAUAUAGAGGAUAUAGAGGAUAUUGUCACUUCCUGACCAGUAUAAGGAGUUAUUGGUUAUUGUAGUUUGGUCAAGAUGUGGCAGGGGGUAUUUGUUUUAUGUGGUUCGGGGUUUAAUGGGAUAUGUAUUUAUGUAAGAGGGGUGUUUGAUUUAUGUGUUCCGGGGUUUUUGGGUAAUGUUCUUGUUUUGUAUUUCUAUGGUUUUCUAUGUUGUGUAUUUCUUUGUUUGGCCUGUAUGGCUCUCAAUCGGGAACAGCUGUACAUCAUUGUUGCUGAUUGAGAGUCAUACUAAGGUAGCCCUGUUUUCACCUGUCCCUUUGUGGGAAGUUGUUGUUGUACUGCUGUGUGUUAGCCUGCAACACUGUUCGUUCG
rnacentral:lncRNA from 1 species